rnacentral:lncRNA from 10 species
GUCACUUAAUUCCUAGGACAUCCUACAAUCCUCCUCUGAAGUUCUUUUUGUUAGCUCAGAAGUUCUGAGUUAGUUAAAUGAUUUCCAAGCCCCCAACAAUUUAGAAAAGGUACAUUAGAAGAAGGGGUGUUAAGAUCAGUGUUUGGGGGAAAAAAAGAUUUUAUUUUUAUUUUUUUUGAGACGGAGUCUUGCUCUGUCGCCCAGGCUGGAGUGCAGUGGCGCAAUCUCAGCUCACUGCAAGCUCUGCCUCCCGGGUUCAUGCCAUUCUCCUGCCUCAGCCUCCUGAGUAGCUGGGACUACAGGCGCCCACCACCACGCCCAGCUAAUUUUUUGUAUUUUUAGUAGAGACAGGGUUUUACCCUGUUAGCCAGGAUGGUCUCAAUCUCCUGACCUUGUGAUCCACCCGCCCUGGCAUCCCAAAGUGCUGGGAUUACAGGCGUGAGCCACCGCGCCCAGCCCAGAUUUUAUUUUUUAAGAGGAGCAGCUAUCUCAUCAUAUAAAUACAAAAACACUGAGGCAGCUGGCACUGGCACUGGUACUAUUCAGAGCUUAAGAACUGUGGCUGGAACCCCAGCACUAUGGUAGAGGCUGAUCAGGGAGGAUUGCUUGAACCUGGGAGGUCGAGGCUGCAGUGAGCUGUUAUUGCACCAUUGCACUCCAGCCUGGGUGACAGAGCAAAAUCCUGUCUCACAGACAAUUUGUGGCAGUGUAGCUGUUGGCAUGAUUUAAUCCAGGGGAAACAGUAGUACGUCCCAGUGGGCCUGAGAGCACCAGAUGCCCACAUGACCCCAAGCCCUUAGGAAAGGUUAAGGUAUGUUCGGUAUGUUCUGUUUAGCCAUGCAGUGACACAGUAUCCUUAAAAGAGAGUUCUAACCAAGCCAAAUUCUGGUGCUUAGAAUACCGGGUUAAAAUGUUAGCCCUCUGAAAGACUUAGCUAUUCAGAAAAAUUCUAGGUAAGAGUUUAUGCUGCUCUUCCCAAUUCCACCGGGCCGAAGGCAAACUAAGACUGCUGAAGCUGAACUGCACUGACAAUCCAUUGGACCUGAACUCUCCCCACCACUCUGCUCAGACAUCCCCAGAACAAUGAAAUCCCAAGUGGCAGGAGAGCAGAGGCCUUGUGGGCACUCACAGAUGCACAUUCCAUAUGCCUUUCUGGAAGAAAGAACUCAGCUCUCUAGGAAGGAGGUAAGAGUCCAGGAGCCUCUCCCUCAGGAAUCCUUGUUUCUCACCAAAGGUGCCAGGAACUGUAGGCAGGGAUUCUGUGAGGACUGUGAAGUAUCUCAAGCUUUGUAAUUCUCUGUAUACAGUAUUGUUUUUGCCUGGUGUCCUUGUUGUGAUGAGCAAGAAAAUCCUUAAUUUAAAAAAAAGAAAAGCAUGAUGCUCACUUCUGGCAGCAGCUAGGAGAGAACCAGGAGUCCAUCCCCCAGCAGCUUGCCACGGGGGUGGGGGUUGGGGGAGAAACUGGAGCGAGAGAGUGGGUGGUGGCAGUUUUGAAGAGGAAAGGGAAGCCAGCUAAGUCCCAGGACCUGAAGCAAGAAAGAAAUGAGGGCGCAGGAAGAGGCCAGAUAAGGGAGGCACCCAGCUUCCUCAGGGUCCUUUGAUGAGGCAGUGGGCCGCCUUAGUACUUGGACACACAAUUUCGUGACAACCGGACGUCUCUGCUUUCUCUAGAACACAACCUGCCUUCUCCCUACCCCACCAUCUAAGUGGUCUGAAUGUGCACCAUGAGGCUGGCUGAACUGGGCACCCAUGGUCAACACGCUGCCUCCCCAGUUGGGGGUUUCGCGACUCUCUGGUAGUCUCAGAGAAGCGUGGGAGAGCAGCCAAACGGUCUCCAUGCCCCCUGAGAGGGGCUUAGGAAUUAGUUGAGAAAGAUGACUGAUCCAGGAGUCUGGUGGUCACAAUAAAAGGACACAGGCACAGGAAACACUGAGUCCAGGGGUCACAGACUCUUCAUGACAUAUUGCAUCUUGGUGGAGGCCACACAGGAGAGGGACAGUAGCAAAUCUGAGGCCUUCUCUCAUACCUAACAUGCCCAACAGAGGUGUAUUAAGCUGGGUAAGAGGAAAAAUAAAGUAUUUCCUGCACCGGGCUUCCUGGCUGGGGUGCGGGCAUAUAAGCAAAGAGCAGAGAUUUUUCCUGCUUGGCAGGGCUGGAAGGCACCCUAGGGCCUUGUUAUUCCAGGGGUAGUCCAAGGACUAGCAAGCAGCAUGGCCAUCACCUGGGAUCUUCUCAAGAAACUCAGUCUCAAGCCUCAACCUAGACCUUCAGAAACAGAACUUGCAUGUUAUGAUCUCAAGGUGAUUUGUGUGCACAUUAACACUGGAGAAGCGUUGCCUUAAGGGACAAUUCAGGUUUCAAAUUACUAUCUUUUCUUAUGAAAAAUCUUUACAUAGCAUGUAAAGGCAGAGCUGCUUAGUUCUGAUGUUGGUUUAUUCUGUGUGAGGCCUUGGUCAAGUUCACCAGCAAGAUAAACAAGAUCCAGAGUAUCUAGUAAUGUACUUGAUGUCAAUGAAGAAAGGCUGAUCCUUGUGACUGUGGUGGGCAUCAGCUGCCCAGGAGCCAGCCCACCCUGACCAACAGCGUGCAGGGUGAGCAAGGCUAGGGAGGCCACACAGCCAGCAUACUUGGGAACCACAUGAGCCCUACCCAAAAGUGAUACAAGAGCUUAUCAGUGUUUCACCCAGUCAGAGAAACGCUGGCUGCCAGGCCAGGCUGGGAACUAGGGCUCUUUUCCCAACUAUCACCAAGGUAAGUUUUCACAGCCUGGAUGUCUCUGGCAUCCUUAGGAAUGUAUUUCACCAUUUUCUUUCAUGAUUCUUAAGAGUGCAGCUAACUUUGAGAACACUGCCACUAUUAAGAUGACCACUAUGUAGCUCUGCUUAAUGGCGCCUAGGCCAAGCCGCCCACACCUCAGUCCUGGGGUCUAAGUCCUGAGUCAUAAAGAGCCCACCAUGGAGACAAGGGCGUUGACCACUGCAUGUCAGACAGUUGGUCAAGCUUCCUUUCUGAUGGCCAGAGGCAAAUUCAUAAGCCCAAUCAAUUCUGCUACUAAGGAAACACCCACAGUCCACUCC